AAUGAACGUUGGCGGCGUGGAUUAGGCAUGCAAGUCGAGCGAGAAGAGUUUGGUAGCUUGCUAUUAAACUCGGAAAGCGGCGAAAGGGAGAGUAACGCGUAGUUAUGUACCCAGGGGUUCGGAAUAGCCACGGGAAACUGUGGGUAAUGCCGAAUAACAUCUCCGGAUCAAAGGUGUGAUUCCGCCCUUGGAGCAGGACUGCAUCCUACUAGCUAGUUGGCGGGGUAAUGGCCCACCAAGGCAACAAUGGGUAGCGGGUGUGAGAGCAUGACCCGUCUCACUGGGACUGAGACACUGCCCAGACACCUACGGGUGGCUGCAGUCGAGAAUCUUCGGCAAUGGCGAAAGCCUGACCGAGCGACGCCGCGUGCGGGAUGAAGGCCCUCGGGUUGUAAACCGCUGUCGUAGGGGAGGAAGGCUCCGUGAAGAACGGGGUUUGACCUAUCCUAGGAGGAAGUACGGGCUAAGUUCGUGCCAGCAGCCGCGGUAA
rnacentral:rRNA from 1 species